rnacentral:rRNA from 1 species
UACGGAGGGUGCGAGCGUUGUCCGGAAUCACUGGGCGUAAAGGGCGCGUAGGCGGCCUGAUAAGUAGGGGGUGAAAUCCUGCGGCUUAACCGCAGGGCUGCCUUCUAAACUGUCAGGCUAGAGCACAGUAGAGGCAGGUGGAAUUCCUGGUGUAGCGGUGAAAUGCGCAGAUAUCAGGAGGAACACCAGCGGCGAAGGCGGCGCUCUGGGCCGGUACUGACACUGAGGAGCGAAAGCGUGGGUAGCAAACAGG